rnacentral:rRNA from 1 species
UCGAGAAUUUUUCACAAUGGGCGCAAGCCUGAUGGAGCGACGCCGCGUGGGGGAUGAAGGGUUUCGAUCCGUAAACCCCUGUCAUUUGCGAACAAACCUUGAUUGUGAAUAGCGAUCGAGCUGAUUGUGGCGGAAGAGGAAGGGACGGCUAACUCUGUGCCAGCAGCCGCGGUAAUACAGAGGUCCCAAGCGUUGUUCGGAUUCACUGGGCGUAAAGGGUGCGUAGGUGGUCGGUGAAGUUCGGUGUGAAAGCUCGGAGCUCAACUCCGAAACGGCAUUGAAAACUCAUCGGCUGGAGGGUCGGAGGGGAGACUGGGAUUCUCGGUGUAGCAGUGAAAUGCGUAGAUAUCGAGAGGAACACCAGUGGCGAAGGCGAGUCUCUGGACGACUCCUGACACUGAGGCACGAAAGCCAGGGGAGCAAACAG